AUACCUAUUUCGUCUAAGAGAAAUACAUUUACAGAAUAAUAAAGUCAGAUGUCCUGCUGUAGCUGUUACUCCUAGGGUCACCGUUCCUGAUACCUCUUCUGCAUCUAAGUCUCAGCCCAUGCAGUUAGGGACAACCAAACUAUCCAAGGCAGAGAAACAAUAUAGGAGAAAGGAGGGGAUCUGCCUAUAUUUUGGGAAGAAGGGGCAUCUGCGAAAUGAUUGUCCGGUGCCUCAUGAAAACAC